CACUGCUGUGACUAAGCAGAGACUUUCUACAGACAAAUGAGUUUUGAAGCAAGGUUUAUCACGUAGCAUUUCCAUUCUGAGAUACACGGAGCUGGAACACUGUCAUCUGUACAGAGAGCAAGGUUUGUUCUAAAUCAAAAAAAGAGGAUAAAAUGCAGAAAUGUGGUAUGACGUUGAUCUUCAACUGGAACAUCAGAAAAUGCAGUCUAUACAGUUAUGAAACCUGAGAGCAGUGACUAAGCAGUUAAUCUGAAGACUAUCCCUAGAGACGGAAUAUGAUGCUCCUAGACUCC
rnacentral:lncRNA from 1 species